GUUACUCCGGUACAUCGGUGACAGGUGGUGCAUGGUUGUCGUCAGCUCGUGUCGUGAGAUGUUGGGUUAAGUCCCGCAACGAGCGCAACCCCUAUUGUUAGUUGCCAUCAUUCAGUUGGGGCACUCUAGCGAGACUGCCGGUAAUAAACCGGAGGAAGGUGGGGAUGACGUCAAAUCAUCAUGCCCCUUAUGACCUGGGCUACACACGUGCUACAAUGGUUGGUACAACGAGUUGCGAGUCGGUGACGGCGAGCUAAUCUCUUAAAGCCAAUCUCAGUUCGGAUUGUAGGCUGCAACUCGCCUACAUGAAGUCGGAAUCGCUAGUAAUCGCGGAUCAGCACGCCGCGGUGAAUGCGUUCCCGGGCCUU
rnacentral:rRNA from 1 species